GAUGAAGAACGCAGCGAAAUGCGAUAAGUAAUGCGAAUUGCAGAAUUCAGUGAAUCAUCGAAUCUUUGAACGCACAUUGCGCCCGCCAGUAUUCUGGCGGGCAUGCCUGUCUGAGCGUCGUUUCGACCCUCGCGCCCGGCUUCUGUCGGGGGCGGUGUUGGGGAUCGGCCACACCCUUCAGUGGGAGGCCGGCCCCUAAAUUCAGUGGCGACCACGCUGUAGCCUCCCCUGCGUAGUACUAAAACCACCUCGCAGGCGGAGAGCGGUGCGGCCCGCCGUAAAACCCCCCAACUUUUACAAGGUCGACCUCAGAUCAGGUAGGAAUACCCGCUGAACUUAAGCAUACAAUAAGCGGAGGA
rnacentral:misc_RNA from 1 species